rnacentral:rRNA from 1 species
AGGACUAACGCUGGCGGCGUGCCUAACACAUGCAAGUCGAACGAGGGGUAGCAAUACCCCUAGUGGCAGACGGGUGAGUAACACGUAGUCAACCUACCUCUUAAUGGGGGAUAACUAGCCGAAAGGUUAGCUAAUACCGCAUACGAUCGUCGAGUGGCAUCACACGACGAUGAAAGGAGCAAUCCGUUGAGAGAGGGGACUGCGUCCCAUUAGUUAGUUGGUGGGGUAAUGGCCUACCAAGACUCCGAUGGGUAGCUGGCUUGAGAGAGCGACCAGCCACACUGGAACUGAGACACGGUCCAGACUCCUACGGGAGGCAGCAGUGAGGAAUUUUCCGCAAUGGGGGAAACCCUGACGGAGCGACGCCGCGUGUGGGAAGAAGGCCUUCGGGUCGUAAACCACUGUCGAGGGGGACGAGUAUUGACGGUACCCCUGGAGGAAGCCCCGGCUAACUACGUGCCAGCAGCCGC